AACGAACGUUGGCGGCGUGGAUUAGGCAUGCAAGUCGAACGAGAAAGUCCCCUUCGGGGGGCGAGUAAAGUGGCGAACGGGUGAGUAACGCGUGGGAAAUCUACCCUCGAAUUGGGGAUAACACUCCUAACGGGGUGCUAAUACCGAAUGAGACCACGGGGUCGCAUGGCCCAGGGGUUAAAGGUGGCCUCUAUUUAUAAGCUACCGAUCGAGGAUGGUCCCGCGUCCCAUUAGCUUGUUGGUGGGGUAAUGGCCUACCAAGGCUACGAUGGGUAGCUGGUCUGAGAGGAUGGUCAGCCACACUGGGACUGAGAUACGGCCCAGACUCCUACGGGAGGCAGCAGUCGAGAGGCUUCGGCAAUGGGGGAAACCCUGACCGAGCGACGCCGCGUGGGCGAUGAAGGCCGUAAGGUUGUAAAGCCCUGUCAGGAGGGAAGAAACGCUGUUGGGUAAACAAUCCAUCAGUUUGACGGUACCUCCAGAGGAAGCUCCGGCUAACUCCGUGCCAGCAGCCGCGGUAAUACGGGGGAGCAAACGUUGUUAC
rnacentral:rRNA from 1 species